ACCAUGUAGCCCAGGCUGGUCUUGAACUCCUGAGUUCAAGCUAUCCCCAAAAAAAAAAAAAAAAAGUGUUUAAAUAGUUAACAGUAUAGCAAAAACAUUUCCUCAUAUUGUGUAAUUAAUAUUUAUAAGUCUACUUUUUAUUUGCUGAAUCAUGUUUAUUCAGGUGGAUUUGUUAACCUUUUACUUAGUGUUGAACAUUAAUUUUUUUCUUCCAGCUUUUUGAUAAUAUAAAUAAUGCUGUGACAAAUAUUUUUUAAUAAGAGGCUUUCCAUAUUUAUAAGUAUUUCCUGAGUAUGGAUUCCCAGACAUAGAAUUAUUUGGUCAAAGAAUAUAAAUAUUCUUAAAGCUCUGAUUACUGUUUUUUUUUGCAUUGCUAGGGAAUUUUACUAAUUUAUACUUUUGCCAGUUGUCUUAGUUUUUUUUUAUUGCUGCCAUAACAAAUUACCACAAACUUAGUGGUUUAAACUACACAAACUUAAUUAUCUUAUAUUUUUGCAGGUCAGAAGUCUGGUACAGGUCCCAUCAGGCUAAAAUCAGGUUGUUGUCAGGGCUGAGUUUCUUCCCAUAGGCUCUAGGGAAGGAAGAAUCCGUUUUUUUUUUUUUUCGCUGAUUCAGGUGGCAGCAUGGAGUUCCAUGGGGUUGUGGGACUGAGGCUCCUGUUUCCUUGUUGGCUGUUAGUUGGGGCUGUCCGUAGCUCCCCCACGCCGCUCUCUGGUCCUUGCAGAUGGCGCCUACAUCUCAGAACCAGUAAUAGGGUAUUGAAUCCUUCUCAUGCUGCCAUUUUCAGACUCAUUCUGUUGCUUUUGGUUGUUGUAUCUCUCUGACCCAGCGGGAAAGGUUCUACGUUUUUAAGGGCUCAUGGGAUUAGACAGGACCACUCAGAUAACCAACGAUAAUCUUCCUAUUUUAGGGGCCUUACGCUUAAUCCCAUCAGCAGAGUCCCUAUUGCCAUGCAAGGUAACAUAUUCUCAGGUUCUGGGGAUUAGGACAUGGAUAACUCUGGGGGCCAUUAUUCUUCCUACCCCACCAACAAUACACAAUUUUUUAUUUCACCAAAUCUUAACUUCACCAGAUAUUAUAAACACUUGUGUAAUAAUUUGAUAGACAAAAAGAUUUAAAUAAGAAUUUAAACAUGUAUUUUUGUUUAGUUGUGAAGAUGAACAUUUUUUGUGCUUUACACAGUUACUUUUGUUUAUGUCUUUCUUGUUGACAGAAGAAACAUAUCUUUUCUGUCAUUUCCCUGCCAGUUCUACUUAUUGCUUGGACUUUAAUACAUUUUUUCUUCUUGAAAUCACAUUUGCCUCUUUUUUGUUUAUUCUUCAUUUGCUUCAAUCAUCCUCAAACAAUGUCCCACAAAGGGAGAAUGAAAACCAAAUUUCCUGAGUUCUUGGAAACUUUAUUCUCAUAUUUGAUAGAUAUUUUGACAGGGUAGAUACUUUUAAGUUUAGGAGAAUUUUUCUUUAGGAGUUUAAUGGUCUUGCUUCAUUGGCUCCAAGCAUCCAUUAUUGUUCAUGAAAAGCCUGAUGCUAGUCUGAUUCCUAUUUGUAGGUAAACUAUUUUUUCCUUCUCUGGAAGGCUUAAGAAUCUUUUCUGUAUCUUGGGAGACAUGAAAUUUCACAAUGAUAUUCCUAACAGAGAGUGUGUACUCUGAUAGCCCCCCUUCUUUUUCUGAUAGAUUCUUCUGAUAUUAACUAAUUAAUGUAAAUGUUUUUAUUAUGGAAAAUUUAAAGCACAUGCAAAAGAAGAUAAAAUAGUGUAAUAAACCUACAUACAUUAUGUAUCACUCACCCAACCUCGAUAAUGAUCAAUUUAUUGCCAGUCUUGUUUCAUCUCAACCAUUUGCUGCCCUUACUAACCCAGUACCUUUUUUUUUUUUUUUUUUUUUUUUUGAGAUGGAGUCUCGCUCUGUCACCCAGGCUAGAGUGCAAUGGUAUGAUCUUGGCUCACUGCAACCUCCGCCUCCCAGGUUCAAGCGAUUCUCCUGCCUCAGCCUCCUGAGUAGCUGGGAUUAGCAAUUAAUUAUUUCAGUUUUAAGAACUCUGGUAAUAUCUUAAUUUCUUCUUCAUUAUGAAGGAUAGUUUUGCUGACAUGGAAUUCUCAAUUGACAUUCUUUUUCUUUCAGCACCUUGAAUAUGUUAUACCACUGCCUUCUGACCUCCAUGGUAUCUGAUGAGGAGUCAGUAUUUAGUGUUAUUGAGGAUAUCCUUUAUCAUUUUAUCAUGCAUGGUUUUUUUUUUUUUUUUUUUUUUUUAGGAGUUUCGCUCUUGUUGCCCAAACUGGAGUGGAAUGGGGCAAUCUUGGCUCUCUACAACCUCCACCUCCCUGGUUCAAGCAAUUCUCCUGCCUCAGCCUUCUGAGCAGCUGGGAUCAUUGUUCUCAUGAUGCUUUCAAAAUUAUCUUUUAGUUUUGGGCAUUUAAUAAUUUGACUAUAAUGGCUCUAGGUUUAGAUCUUUUAAAUUUAUUCUACUUGGAGUUCAUUGAGCUUCUUGGAUGUGAAGAAUAAUAUUUUUAAUUAAAUAUCAAAUUUUCUUGGGCAUUAUUUUCUUAUGCAUUCUUCCUGCCCUAUUUUCUCUCUUCUUCCAGGACUCCCAUUAUACAUAUGUUGGUAUGCUUGAUGGUAUCCCACAGACCACCAUUUAUAAUAGCUUAUUUAAGGUCUUGACUAGUAAGUUCGAUAUCUGGGUUUUCUCAAGGACAGUUUUUUUAACCAGUUUGUUUCUCUUGUGGGAGCCAUACUUUCCUUCUUGUAAGCAUGUUUCUUUUCUUUUGUUUUUUUUAAACUGGACAAUUUGAAUGAUACAUUGUGGCAAUCCUGAAAAUCAGGUUUUCCCUCUCCUCAGAGCUUGUUGUUGUUGCUGUUUGUAUAUUUAGUGACUUUUCUUGAUUAAUUUUGCAGUCUGAACUCUUUGCAUGUGCAGCCACUGAAAUUUCUGCUAUGGUAACUUAGUGGUCAGCUAAUGACUGGACAGAUUUUCUUAAAUAUUUUGAACCAAAAAUUCUCCACUCUUUGCUGAGGGGUUCUCUGUGUGUUUUGGGGUGCACCUCCAAUGCAUUGGCCAGAAAUUUACAACUGUUUUUUAGUCUUCACUUUCUGCUUGCACAGAGCCUAAAGGUCAGAGGUGAGAGCAUAGGUCCUUUUCAGGUCUUUUCUGGACAGACUCAUGGACUUGUACAUGUUUAUGGCCUUCUAGAUUACCAAGAAUAUGUAGGACCUUUUCAAAGUCCUCUAUGGCUGUAUAAAUAUCCAGCUUUUUCUUUUAAGUUUUUUGGCCAACUUCUUGCUUGCCCCAACUGGUAUUGCUGCCCUAGGCCACUGCAGUUUUAAACCAUUGCCACUGAUUGUUUUUGACAAACAUCUUGGGGAUAAGACUUUUUACUAAGUGAGAUCUGAAUCAGGUUAAAUAGAGACAAGCCCUGAGGGGAGACAGGUAAAAUAGUAAUAAUUUUCUGGGGAUAGUAUUUUAGGGGAGCUCCGAACCUUCUUCCACCUCUCAUGGCUGUUAAGUGACUGUUUUUUUUUUUUUUCCCAAGCUAUCAUGUUUUUGAGGCUGCUGUAGAGCUGGGCAGAAGGGGAUGAGAAUAGACCAAGUUAAAACUUCAUAAAGCUCAUUGUUUUUACCUAGUUUCAGCUGUUUUUCUUUAAUAAAUUCUCCUCAGUUUGUUGCAAGCCUUUAGUUAACAUUCAGAGUUCUAAAUAAGUUUAUUUUGAUAAUUUCUUCAGUGUUUUUUUUUUGUUUUGUUUUGUGGAGGAAUAGAUUUUCAGAGGUGCUUACUCCAGCAUCCUGGAGGCGCUUCUCCUUUUGGUGACAUUUAAAUGCAAUCUCAUGUGGAAGGAGGUAAAAAUGCAUGUAAAUAUGAUAUCUUGAAAUGACUAAUUUUUAAAAACUGUAUUUUCAUAUUUCUUUUAUUCCUGUGAGAUACUAGCUACAACACAUCUCACACAGGCAAAUUAUUUUAUAGUUAUGGUUCAAGGUUUGCAAACAUGGAGUGUUAGCUUAAAAAAGAACGCAUCUCAUGAUGUAUUUUGAAAAAAAACAAAAGUUAGUGGAUGGUCAUACACCCAUAUGCCCUUUUAUCAAAGGAUGCCAUUUAGAAGACACAAAUAUUUUUCUCUCUUGACAAUUUUUUUUUGAUCACACACAGGAAUUAUCAUUAUAGGGUUUUAUUUUUAUUGGUGGACAAAACCAAGCAUCAAAUUUUAUGGUUCAGAUUAAAUAAUUAUAACCAAUGGUUAUCUGAGAACCGUGAUUCUUUUAACCUUUGUUUAUCCUACUUGAUUUAGGUGAAUGAACCAAAAAGGAUUUAAUAAGUGAUGAAGUUGGACCCAGCACUUUACUGUACCCUUGUAGGAAUACAAGAGAUGAGGCCCAGAGGCCCCAGUCUUUGCUGUCUUUUAAAAAUCUCCUAACAUAUUCUGUCUUUUCUUAUUCCCCAUGAUCUUCAGAAUAUUCUCUACAGAAAAAAGCAGUUUAACUUAUGAAGAAAAACUCUACCUAGUAUUUACAAAUCAGCCCUUGACUGAAAGCAUAAUAAAAAUAUCAAUUUUCAGUUGGCAGACCAAAUAAAAGUUCUAUUUUUGACAUUUUUCCUUAUGUUUUUCAAAUGUGCAACUAAAAUUGUUAUGAUAGUUUCACAUUUCCAUAAUCCAUUUCUUUCUUUUUUUAUAUUGGAUCUGUUUAGGUCCCCAAACCCAGAAUACCAAUUUUAUUUUCAUCUGAUUCCUCUUUUUUUCAAGAAAACUGCAAAUUAAGUCCUUUUAUUUUAUUCCAAAAACCAGCUUCCUUUCUUUCCUCCAUCCCUGGUUUCUCAAAUAAUUGCUCCUUUGUGAAGAACCGAACAAUAGCAAACCACUGGUAAUCUGUUACUGGUUUAAGUCCUAUAUUUAACCAGCAAAUUGUUUAAUCAGAAACAUAAUCUGACCUAUUGGGUAACCAAGUUUUGUUUAAUAUAUCUGAGAAUAAUGCGUUCUUGUUUAGCUUUCCAUACACAAUGGAGGACUUUUAGUAUAAAAUCGGAUGCACCAAAAUUAUAUCAUUUGAUAACAUAUGAAAGUGGAAAAUUAGAAGUUUAACCAAAAUUUGACUUUUAUUUUUAUCAUUCCACAGAGAAAUGGUUCCCUUUUCUACUUCUCCCAAUUUUUUUUGAAGCUCAGAAUUCUUCAUUAUUGCCAAAUGUACAUUUUGGAUAUGCUCAUGAUUAUAUAAUAUUGUGUUUCAGAAUUGAAUACUUUGUGGGUUCUUUCUAGAGACACUGUCUUUUAAACUAAUUCCAAAGUAGAAAUAAAAAUGCUGAAAAUUUGGGAUUUUGAGAUAGGAGCCCAGUUCAAUGCAGUUGCUCCUGGGCAGUCUUCAUCCCUUACCUUGGAUGGGUCUCCCUUUUAUUCUAUUAACCCUUUGAUAAAUCACUUCAGAUUUUGAGCAACUUGUUGGGUUCUCUUUACAACAUUUUCUAUGAAAUGGUUGCUCUGCACUGGAUUGAGAAAUAAGGUACCUGGGUUUUCAUCCAACCUAGUUAUUAACUAGAGUAACUUGAGGCCAGUCAUUUAUUUUUGAGCCUGUUUCUUUCUCUAUAGAAUGGAGCAGAGAGUGUGUAUGUGUUGGAAGGGGGAAGGUGUUGGGCUCAAUGAGCUUCAAGACUUCUUUAGGCUCUUAUUUUCUAUUUUUCUGUGGCUCAAAGCAGAAAUAUUUCUGGCUAUUCAAUAGAAGCCUUAAUUUAUCUAGUGCUUUUGACUUUUCCUGAUAGUCAUCAUCUUUCUAUAUAUUUCCACAUGUAUAUUUACGUUUAAUAUAUAUGUAUACACACAUAUAUGUGUAUGUAUACAUAUUCUGUCUUCUAUAUUCUAGCUAGUUAACAUUUAUUGAGUGGUUAGUAUGAGGCAGAUACUAUGGUAACAGCUUUAUGUUUAUAAACUUACGUAAUCCUCACAAUAAUCACCCAGGAUAUGUAUCAGGGAAAAGAGGCACAGAGAGGUUAAAUAACUUGCUCAAGAUCACCCUGAUAGCAAGUAGCUGAACUACGAUUAAAACUCAAGUAGCCAGUACCAGAAUCGUGUUCUUAAUCAUUGCACUAUACCUUAUAAUUCUGUGUAAGAAUCCUAUGUUCCAUCUUAAUGUAGCUCCAAGCUGCUUUUUAUUCUUUGCCUUUCACUGUAAAAUUGUAUAAACUAUUAUUUCUCACUCACUGUUUCUCCAUUCCUUCACACGCUAAUUUCUCAACACCUUACAAACUGGCUGCUCUUUCUCAUUAUCAAGGAUCGUAGCACCUAAUUCAGCAUCUCUCUCUUCCACAUCCUUUUGUUAUAGUCUCUGACUACAAGUAGAUACUUGAUUCUCCUUUUUGCUCUACUUAUCAACACUAAAUGCCUUCGUCUCUUCUUUACUUCAGUUGUACACAGGUACCAGUGUUUGGGACCUUGUCACCAUUUGUUUUGUUUCUACAACAUGGUCUGCACUUUCUGGCCUUGACAUCUUUGCUGACUUGGUUCUCUUUACCUGGAAUUCCAAGUUGUAUUUGUUCUUCAAGACCUGGCAAAAUGUGAUUUUCUCUAUGAAUGGAUGGAUCUCACUUUGUGAUCCAUCCAACAAGAAGUCCUCUUUUCUUCCUCUAAAAUCCCAUAACACUUGAUCUAAAUCUCACUGAUGGCAUCAAAUUUUUUGUUUUUUUAUUUUUUACCAUGUAUUAUAGUUAUUCUAGCAUGGGUUGAAACUACUACUAUGGGCUGUAGAUUCUGGGGAUACAAAGUGAAGACAUAAUUCCAACUUUCAAGAAGUUUUGAGGCUGGUGGAAGAGAUAUUUAUUUAAAUAUUCAACAGGGAGAGGAGGAAGAAGGGGUGAAAGGGCCAUGCCAGCUAGGGGUCCUGCAACUGACAGUGUACUGCAAAUGUGACUCUUCAGGGGCUUUGCUGGAGAGACUGAUGGGUUCUGGGGAGUUAUCAUCCUCUGCAACUGCACAGAGGAUCUUUAUUUUCUUUCUCUGGGAAAUUUCUGGCAGAGGCACUUGAGGCCUGCUGUAAUCAUUUAGGAGUGUAACUGUUAGUAGUUUCUGGGUGACAGCAGAUAAUGAUUGAGAGGGUAUCAAGAUACUCUGAUGAAAGUAGAUCUGGGUAGGGUUGAAGGAAAUUGUAGAUGGGAGUCUGGAGUAAGCAGAAGACCAUUAAAGUUAGGUUAGUUAGUUAGGUUAGCUAAGCAUACAUUUAAGAAAAAUAAUUCUAAUUAUAAUGGUAAUAAGGCUAAUAUUAAUGGAAGAUUUACUAUCUUCAGCACUAUCCUAAACUCUCCAAGUAUAUUAACUCAUUUAUACCUUUCAACAUUUCCACAGGUUAAAUACUAUUAAUAUCCCUAUUUUACAGAUGAGAAAACUGAAAUACAGAAAAUUUAGGUCAUGGAUGGAAGGGCUUCCUUUUUAGUUACGUUGUAUGGGAUUCUAGAAAGAAAACUUAUUUUGUUGGUUGUGAGAAUGUGGAGAAAUCUUGCCCAGAAUCUCAUGGUCAAUAAGUAGCAGAACAUGGAUUAAAGUCCUGUAAUUCUGACUUUUUUUUUUUUUUUUUUUUUUUGAGACAGUCUCGCUUUGUCGCCCAGGCUGGAGUGCAGUGGCAUGAUUUUGGCUCACUGCAACCUCCACCUCCCGGGUUCAAGUGAUACCAUGUUGGCCAGGCUGGUCUCGAACUCCUAACCUCAGGUGAUCCACCCACCUUGGCCUCCCAAAUGCUGGGAUUACAGGCGUGAAUCACUUCUCCAAGCCUGUAAUUCUGACUUCUUAUCCUACUGUCAUACUGUUCACUUCCCUAAUUCGUGAGUUCUUGCUGAUGGUGAAGUAAGGAGAUUUCCCAGUGUAACACAGCCACCAGCUUUUAUUCCUCCCUGGUCAGGAUGCAUUGGCAGGUAGAACAGCUGGGUGGAGUUUUGGGAGGCAGAGAAGGGAAAGACAAGCAGGAUCCAGAGACACAGGAUACCCUGAGCCCUCUCAGGAAAGUAUUAGGACCAGACUGGCCCUUAGUUUGGGUUCUUCCAUCCCUGGGAGUCUCAGUUACUGGCAUAAGGUUGGCCCUCCCUGAUCACUGCUGGAAUUUUAGGCCACACGAGCACCAUGUUUCUCCUCCAGCCAUCAUGUCUCACCCUCCAGUGGCAGAGGUAGAUCAGGGUGAAUGAUGUCUGGAACUCUCCAUUCCUCAAUGUAAAAAUCAUAUUCUCUCUACCCAUGGAGGAAUAACUUUUUUGGAGGACAAGGAUCAAAGCUCAUUGCUACCCUACCCUUAGUCUGGGCUGGGAAUUUUUUGAAGGAUGGAUGCCGUGUUGCCUGUCAAGACCCAAAGUCCCUAUCCCCUCUACAUCCUGAUGUCCCACUGUUUCCAUCCUGCCACUUACAUGCCUCCACUUCAUCCUUUAGCAAUUUAUCUUUCUCUACUGUGAGAUUUAGACACCUCCUGCUGCAUUAGCUACAGUUCCUUCAGCUUAUUGGAGUAAGAACUGCUGAAAGAGCUGGGCACCCAUGGUCCACUGCAUUUCCCCACUUGGUUCUUUUUAUUCUUCCUCCCACAAUGGCCCUGAGAACUCAACGAGCUUUUGUGUUCAUAUUUCCCCAGUCGACUCCUAAAGGUGACUUCCAGGGCAGGCAAGGGAUAUUCUCUCUAGUCUCCUUCUGUCUUCUUUGUUUAGGACGCUGACAUUUCCAGCCUUCUCAGGUAGGUUUUAUCUCAGGUAUUCAUUCAUUCAUUCCACAUUUAACAAAUAUUUUAUAAAUCCCUACUAUAUGCUAAGAACAGUUGUAGACACUUGGAGAUAUGCUAGUAAACAAUAUAAUAGUGCUUACCUUCUAGGGGGUAUAAAUAAAUAAACUAUAUAGUUUUUUUUUCUUUGAGACAGGAUCUUGCUCUGUUGCCUAGGCUGGAGUGCAGUGGUGUGAUCAUAGCUCAUUGCAGCCUCAAACUUCUGGGCUAAAGCGACCCUCCUCCCUUCACCUCCUGAAUAGCUAGGACUAUAAGCAUGUUCCCCCAUGUGGCCUUUUUUUUUUUUUUUUUUUUGAUAGAGACAAAGUCUGUGUUGCCCAGGCUGGUCUCAAACUCCUGGCCUCAAGGUAUCCUCCCACCUCAGCCUUCCAAAGUGUUGGGAUUAUUGGCGUGAGCCACCAUGCCUGGCCUGCAGUGUGUUAAUAAGCUCUAACAUGAAACAAAAGAUGAGAAAGGGGGAUAGAAAAUGGUAAUGGAGAUAAAAUACUAGAAAGGGACACCAGAUUUCACUGGUAAGGUCCUUUAGGAAGGAAGGGAACAAUGUAGGUGGCUACAUGGGGAAGAGUAGCCCAUGUAGAGGGGGCAGCAAGUGCCAAGGCCCUGGGGUUGGUUGUCCGAUCUGAGGAGGUGUAUUGGCAUAAUCUGAUUAGUAGGAGCAGGUUGGAGCUGCCUGAAUAGGGCUAUAGUUUAGAAAUACCCUGUAGAGAGGAAGUGGUGCCUGGUAUACUGUACCAGGUACGGCAACUGAAAGAAGAUUUAGUUGGCAUUGCAAAGCCUGGAAUCUAAGGAGAGAGGACACAUAUAGGUGGCAAUCUGUGCCAGAGGUCAGUAAUGGGUGGAGAGAAUGUAUUUAAUGAGUGGAUAGCAAGAGUGGUGGGAAUUUGCCUAUUGUCGGCUCUAAAUAUUCUAUGCUGUGCUCUGUGAUGUCAGAUCUGAGGCUCUGCAAACUGCAGUCAGAGAUUCCUUUACCAAUAGGCUUCCUCUUAGGUUCUGUCAAGAGGAGGCAGAAGAUGAAGACUGAAAGUCAGGAGGAGGAGAGAAGAGAGUAAUUUUCUAUUUCUUGAUAUCAAUGUCAUUGCUCCAGAAGUGGCACUUUGCCCCAGCAGUGGCAUUUCAUAUCACUGUGGCAGUUUAUUAUGGCUUCCAGCUUCUUUCCGCAUUCCCAGAACCAGCCUCAACUUCCUUCCUCAAUGGUACCAGCACCGUUCAAUGUUAUGAACCAUCUCAAAGGUCAGAGCCCUAGCUUCACGGUGCCCACUUCUUCUAGUGCCUAAGUUCUGAUAGCCCCAACCCUCACCUUUUCAUCCCCCAGCCUUGGGAUGGUAAUUGCUUUCUGCUUUAUGCAGUUAUUAAAUUUCCGCUCAGUCAGCUCUCCAACACCUGUGUGAUCAAUCAAUUCCUUAUUAAAUCCAUGCUCUUGAAAUACCUAAUAUGGUGUCUACUUUCCUGACCGGAUCUUGACUCUGUCUACUUGUUGACCAAGUACUUGCCUGGAUUUCUGAGUAAUACCUCCCUGUGGAUUCCGUGCUCUGGGCUCUACUCCUACAUCAAAGAGUUACUGGGAAUGCCAACAUGCGUCUCUGAGUGGUUUCCUUGUCUGUCAUAAUUGGAAUAACAAUACCCAUCUUCUAUUCUGGUAGCAGUGUUAGUUAAUUUACUAGAAAAGGCACCUGUACAGAGACCUGAAAAGGGCAUGACUUCAAAUCACAGAAGCCUGUUUGAUGCAGUUUAAGCAGCAAAUGGGAACACAGUAUAUGGACACUAGUGUCAUAUGGAAUCCAAGAGCAGGAAGAGCAUCUCGACCUUGGGAAGAGCUUGCAACUGAGAACUCGAAAACUGCCAGGAGUCUAACUUGCCUUUGCUUUUUUCUGCACAUUGACUUCAUUCUUUUUUCCCUGCUGGCCAGGUCUAUAGGGGAGGGAGCAGUACCAAGGUCACUGUAGACUGAGAAGACCUACAAACACCUACUCUCCUGGGCCUCAGUAAUGCCAAUGAAACUUGGAAUUGGGGUCCAGAUGAGAUGUAGGUCUUUAAUCCCAAAUGGACUAGCUGCUACUGAACAGAUCCCCCUAUCUCAGGCUUAGAUUGAUUCUAAGGAGGUGGGGAGGGAUGAGACUGAGUCUGCAGAUGAGGAUCCAGGGGUCUCGGUUGCAGGAAGUGAGAGAGAUGCAGACUCAGGACCCAUCUCUCCAUUCACUUCUGCCAGUUCUCUCAAGUGUAUUCCAGAUUUCUCGUGAAAAAGAAAAAAAUUCUACCUCCAAUCUUCAUUCUGUUGAAGAAACUGGGGCUCCCCAUGGGCUAAGCAAAGAAUGAAAGAUUUCAGGGCUUGAUCUGUGUUCUCAGAGAUUACUGACAUCCCAUAGGGUGAUCUUGUCUAGAUUCCAUCCCCCUCAAACCACUCCCCUGACCCCUGAUUGGUUUUGGGGUGCUUUGCCUAUUUAUUUUUUCUAUUUGUUUUAUUCACCUCAAAUCUCUUAAAUGUUUAAAAUGAAAACAGUUUAUGCACCUGUGUUCUUCUCUGGGACAUGGAGGACCUUAAAGAACACAGAUUCCAUCCAUAAGAUAAACAUCUGAGCCUUCCCAGAAACAGACAAGGAUUACAGAGAAUCAGAAUCUGGUCUUUAUCUCGAAAGGCAAUUUGAGUGCUGCUGGACAUUGCAAACUGGAAUUGUACAUGGAAAAAUAACAUUGGUGCUAUAAAUUCCUUUCUGCUUUGAAAUAUGUUGUGUGUUAGAAACAGAGAGGUAAUGUUUAUGGUGUAACUCAGAAUACUGGGAUAGAGUUAUGCAUUAAGAGUGGGACGAUAGGACAUUAUGCAAACAGAGUCCCUAAAGAGAGAUGUUUUAGUGGGUAAAAUAAUUUUUAAGAAUUAUUUAGAUACUCCCUACCAAUAAGUACUCACAGAUAUUAACCUCCCAGACUUCCACUGUCCUCCAGAGAUCGAUGGGAAAAGAGGAAUGAAUCACUAAAAAUAAAGCUCAAUAACUAAAAGAGCUUUAUCCUCCAAACUUCUUGGAUCAGUACAGUCAGUGGGGACUAUGUUGAUUCUCUCAUGGAUGCUGGAGAGACUCCAGCCUGGAAGCAAGGCAGCUGAGAGUCUUUAAGUUUCAUAAGAAGGGUUACUAUUAAGUAUAAGAUGAUUCCUGAAAACUGGGCCUGAGCAUGGAAAAGUAACACUGCUUCUCCAAGUUCACUCUGCUUGGACACAGGGGUGCAAGAGGUGCUGGGAGAUGGUUCAGCUAGCCGAGGGUUGUUUCCACAGAGUACAGACAAGGAUAGGGUUCAAAUGGCAGUGGGGAGAUUCAGGAUACAUAAAGCAGAACUUUUGACACUGAGUGUUGAUAAACACUGAGGACUGUCGAGAGAUCCUGUUUUCUGGAGAUGCUUAAAAGAAGGUUGCUAUCUUAUCUGACAGGGAUGGUUUAGGGUGCCGGACUGUAGCCUGGAGAAGGGUUUAUAUCCUUGAUCAUUAUAUAAAAUAAGUCAUUUAAAAAACUUUUUGUAGCCUCACUCUCUUCAAGGAAGCUAAAGCUGAGUUACAAUUCUGAGAUUUCUGUGUCUAUUUCUUCACCUCUCAUCUUAGAAUUUCUGCCGAGGCAAGUAAUUGCUAUUCUUUCUCUACAAUGAAAAAGAAAAUGAAAGAACAGCAAAGCAGGCAGGGAGACCAGAUAACCUCGUGCUCCAGAAUUGAGUGUAAAUUAAGAGUCUAGAGGCUCUGAGGUUUGUUAUUGAUGCCAAAUGGGCAGGAGGAGCACUGAGAAUCACAAGAACUGGAUUCAAACUCAGAUUCUGUUACUUAACAGCAAAAAACCUCAACUAAGUUACCAAGUCCCUGAGCUUCAUUUUCCUUCCCUUGAAGUGAGGAUAUUAAUAUCUGCACUGAGUACAUAUUGGGGCUGUCUGAGGAUCAGAUGAAGUCAUGUCUGUGAAAGCACUCCUUGAACUGUGAAAUAUUGUAUGUGGCAUUGUUAGAAACAGACAAAUAAGAAUCUUAUUUUGGCCAUUAACCUUAACUUUCUCUUAACUUUUCCGUUCAUCCGUGGGAGAGUCACCAGAUGGACUGAUUUGAAUUUUCCUUUUUUGAUUUCUCAUCUCUCUCUCUGGUGGACGUGCUAAGGGGUAGGAACAUAAUCAUUGAUGGGCUUCAGGAGGGCAAAGGAUGGGGAAAAAAAGGACAUCGAUGAUUUUCCAUAUGGAUAACAAGACUUCAAACUCUGAAAAACUAAGAAUUAACUAUUUCCUAACUGCUCUGAAAUUUUUCCUGUACACUACAGAAACACACAGCAUAUUAUUGUCACACAGACACACAUUUUGUUGUCACACAUACACACACGUGUUCUAGCUCUGGCAGGUAUGAUCUUGGGCAAAUUAACUUCUCUGUGCAUUGGUUUUCUCAUAUGGCCAUUGGGAAAAUAAUAGUACCCAUCCCAUAAAAUUCUUGUGAGUGUUAAAUGAAAUAAUAAAUGUGGAAUUCUUAUAACAGUGUCUGGUAUACAGUGUCAGAAGUUUUAUAUGUCAAAAGUUCUGCUUUAUAUAUCCUGAAUCUCCCCUCCUGCUAAUUGUACUCAAUAAAUUAUUAUUUCUGGAUCUUAUUUGAUCUUCACAACCCUGUGAAUUUUCAGUUCAUAUUGUCCCCCAUUUUACAAUUAGAAACGUGAAUGACUUGUUCAAGGUGACUCUGCCCCCUAGGGGUUUGUAAUUGGAUCACUUUCCAUGAAAGUGUCCAACAGGAGAACAGCACCUAGUAGUGUGCAGGGUUAGGACCCAGAAGAUAAAGUGAACACUCUCUUAGAGUUAAAAUUAUCUUUGAAAGACCUUUAAAUCACUUACAGUAUACAUACUUCUGUGGAUAUGACUUCAUAGGAUAAUUCUUAAGGACACUAAAAUUCGAGAAUCGUGGGGUAAAUUCAGGAAGACACUAAAAGCAAGUCUAUAUGCAGCUGUCUGAACAUUCAGACUAUUUUGCUUUUUAGAAAACUAAGGUGUUUCUAUUGUCUACAAGAGUUCCUCCACACUGAUUUUUAAAGACUAUUAAGCCUUUAUGCCUUAAUAUAUGUCAAUGGAUUUGUCUAUUAUGGAUAGAACAACCAGGAACAGGGAGUCUUAAGAAUUAGGUUCUAAAAUUGGAGGCCGGGCGCGGUGGCUCAUGCUUGUAAUCCUAGCACUGUG
rnacentral:lncRNA from 1 species